rnacentral:rRNA from 1 species
AAAGGAAUAGACGGGGACCCGCACAAGCGGUGGAGCAUGUGGUUUAAUUCGACGUUAAACGAAGAACCUCACCAGGGCUUGAAGUCACAGGAAUACCCCCGAAAGGGAGUAGUGCCGCAAGGAGCCUGUGGAUCAGGUGCUGCAUGGCCGUCGUCAGCUCGUGUCGUGAGAUGUUCGGUUAAGUCCGUAAACGAGCGCAACCCUUGUCCUGCGUUAAAGUUCACACAGGAGACUGCCGGCUUAUCGCCGGAGGAAGGUGAGGAUGACGUCAGGUCAGCAUGGCCCUCUGACGCCCUGGGCUACACACGUGCUACAAUGGCGAGGACAAUGAGACGCAAAGUCGCGAGACGAAGCAAAUCUCAUCAAACCUCGUCCCAGUUCGGAUUGAAGGCUGCAACUCGCCUUCAUGAAGUCGGAAUCGCUAGUAAUCGCCGGUCAGCAAUACGGCGGUGAAUACGUUCUCGGGUCUUGUACACACCGCCCGU